CAAAAACCCAAGAGGAUUUUCCCAUAGGCUUUUGGAUUGUCGCAAAAAAUACUGCUUCACCCUGACCACACAGCUGUCUGUGCACUUGAACUUUUACGGACUUUUGUGGGUGUCACUACAAUUCAGCUGUGCCAUGCAUGCACUCGGAUCGGUUUUCCAAUAAUCUAUCAGUCCCUCCAGGAAUCCUCGAUUUUGCGAUCGCAGAAAUCGAUAUUCGAAGGAGUCUGCAAAAUGACCACAGAUCUUCCGCAGAUUUGAUUUGAGCCGAGACGCGUCGUGCGGCGACGUCAUCAGCCGAAGCCGUCUUCGAUUCACGAGAUCUCAUCUGGUGAACAAAAGGAUGGUAUCAGCUUGGGGACGGUACCAAGAAUGCCUUUUGACAUCCGACAAGAAACCACAAAACUACAGAAGAUGUUAAAAACGUCAUGUUCUCGGCCAUGACUUGACGGCGGCACAGUUACAGUUAGUUAGGUUCCAGUUUGUUGUGCAUUCAGCUUGGCAAGAUCGAAGGUUCACACUGCAGUAUAUUUAAAAAUAAUCAUUUAAAACGAAUCUUCAGUCAUCAUGGACUGCAAGCCCACAGCGAGUCCCUCUCAGACACGGAUAGGGCACUGACGUUAGUCUAUAAUCUUCGGUGUUGUGUAACUCUUUAAUCCAUUUCUUGUAUAAAUAGCAACACUAACGUUAUUUUCAGGAUAGGAUAACACCCAAAGAGUUCGAUACUGUAUCUAAGACUAUUAAAAGUUAAUGAACUCAUGCAAACGAUGUGCUACCAGAGGGAUGAAAUAUGAGCGCACAUUAGAUCAGCGUUCUGGAAGGAUUGUUCUUGGCAGCGCACUGCACUGUGAAAAAUAAAUUGCAUUU